GGCUCAGGACGAACGCUGGCGGCGUGCCUAAUACAUGCAAGUCGAGCGGACAGAAGGGAGCUUGCUCCCGGAUGUUAGCGGCGGACGGGUGAGUAACACGUGGGUAACCUGCCUGUAAGACUGGGAUAACUCCGGGAAACCGGAGCUAAUACCGGAUAGUUCCUUGAACCGCAUGGUUCAAGGAUGAAAGACGGUUUCGGCUGUCACUUACAGAUGGACCCGCGGCGCAUUAGCUAGUUGGUGGGGUAAUGGCUCACCAAGGCGACGAUGCGUAGCCGACCUGAGAGGGUGAUCGGCCACACUGGGACUGAGACACGGCCCAGACUCNUACGGGAGGCAGCAGUAGGGAAUCUUCCGCAAUGGACGAAAGUCUGACGGAGCAACGCCGCGUGAGUGAUGAAGGUUUUCGGAUCGUAAAGCUCUGUUGUUAGGGAAGAACAAGUGCGAGAGUAACUGCUCGCACCUUGACGGUACCUAACCAGAAAGCCACGGCUAACUACGUGCCAGCAGCCGCGGUAAUACGUAGGUGGCAAGCGUUGUCCGGAAUUAUUGGGCGUAAAGGGCUCGCAGGCGGUUUCUUAAGUCUGAUGUGAAAGCCCCCGGCUCAACCGGGGAGGGUCAUUGGAAACUGGGAAACUUGAGUGCAGAAGAGGAGAGUGGAAUUCCACGUGUAGCGGUGAAAUGCGUAGAGAUGUGGAGGAACACCAGUGGCGAAGGCGACUCUNUGGUCUGUAACUGACGCUGAGGAGCGAAAGCGUGGGGAGCGAACAGGAUUAGAUACCCUGGUAGUCCACGCCGUAAACGAUGAGUGCUAAGUGUUAGGGGGUUUCCGCCCCUUAGUGCUGCAGCUAACGCAUUAAGCACUCCGCCNGGGGAGUACGGUCGCAAGACUGAAACUCAAAGGAAUUGACGGGGGCCCGCACAAGCGGUGGAGCAUGUGGUUUAAUUCGAAGCAACGCGAANAACCUUACCAGGUCUUGACAUCCUCUGACAACCCUAGAGAUAGGGCUUUCCCUUCGGGGACAGAGUGACAGGUGGUGCAUGGUUGUCGUCAGCUCGUGUCGUGAGAUGUUGGGUUAAGUCCCGCAACGAGCGCAACCCUUGAUCUUAGUUGCCAGCAUUCAGUUGGGCACUCUAAGGUGACUGCCGGUGACAAACCGGAGGAAGGUGGGGAUGACGUCAAAUCAUCAUGCCCCUUAUGACCUGGGCUACACACGUGCUACAAUGGACAGAACAAAGGGCUGCAAGACCGCAAGGUUUAGCCAAUCCCAUAAAUCUGUUCUCAGUUCGGAUCGCAGUCUGCAACUCGACUGCGUGAAGCUGGAAUCGCUAGUAAUCGCGGAUCAGCAUGCCGCGGUGAAUACGUUCCCGGGCCUUGUACACACCGCCCGUCACACCACGAGAGUUUGCAACACCCGAAGUCGGUGAGGUAACCUUUAUGGAGCCAGCCGCCGAAGGUGGGGCAGAUGAUUGGGGUGAA
rnacentral:rRNA from 2 species